rnacentral:rRNA from 1 species
AUUGAACGCUGGCGGCAGGCUUAACACAUGCAAGUCGAGCGAGCGGCGGACGGGUGAGUAAUGUCUGGGAAACUGCCUGAUGGAGGGGGAUAACUACUGGAAACGGUAGCUAAUAACGCAUACCACCAGAUGUGUCCAGAUAGGAUUAGCUAGGAGGUGGGGUAAUGGCCCACCUAGGCGACGAUCCCUAGCUGGUCUGAGAGGAGGACCGGCCACACUGGAACGGAGACCCGCACCAAACUCCUACGGGAGUCAGCAGAGGGGAAUAUUGCACAAUGUGCGCAAGCCUGAUGCAGCCAUCCCGCUUGUGUGAAGAAGGCCUUCGAUUUGUAAAGCACUUUUAACGAGGAGGCAUUACUCGCAGAAUAAGCACCGGCUAACUCCGUGCCAGCAGCCGCGGUAAUUC